UUAGGUCGCAAGGGCAAAAGAAUCCCGGGAAAUGAAAAACAUUACUUCCAUAAUCCCUACCUUCGAAAGGAGCAUUUCCAUGAUCCAAGCGACACCUUAUUCGGAGGAAAGGGGGAACAUCUGCUAUUCUCCUAGAUCAGUCACCCGUGUCUGCCCCCAUCUUCGGACGGUAUGGGGCAUAUGGGUAGCCAUGCUCUCUUGAAGCAAGGGAAUGCUGAAUAUGACCUCAAGCGGUGACAGUUAUAUGAUUAUUACCGGCCGUUAGUGUAAAUAAAAUUGGGGGUGCCUAUUCUGAUAUUUAUCAGCUGGCAUUGUAGACAUUGUUGAAGAGGUUAUGUGACAGAAAUUUUAAGAAUGUCAAGGUGGUUUCUAAUCGCAUGGUUUUUGAUAUCCAUGGCAACCUUGUUGGAUUUGAAGGUACACUUCAUGUUAGGUGCUAGGUGUUAGCAUCCUAUUUAUUCAUCGUUUGAAGGUAUAUAUGUAUGCAAAGAAUAAGUUUGCUAAUAGCAGAAAACUGCAAGGAUUAGCUUUAGAGAUUUGGGAAAACAAAAUUGGUCUAUAUUUUUGCAUUUUGUUAUCCUUCUUCAACCAUGUAAGGUCGCUUAUCUAUUUUUCUUCCCUAGUCACUUUCCCUGACCUUUUAGUUUUUUGUCUUCUAUCUUUUCUAUUUUGCACUCGAUUAUUGUAAUAAAAAUGGAUGCAUGGAUGCAAGUUUAAUACAGACUGUUAUGUUGAAUUGAGUA